AUCUCUAAAAUUAGAGAUAAGACAAUAUAAAUAAUAUUGUUUGCUGUCUUAUUUUAUUUCAUUACAAUUAAUCUUAGGGUAUAUAUAGUAAUAACUACAAAGGUUCUUCAUAUUAGAAAUAUAAAAUAUUCAUAUUACUGGGUACCAACACAAGAACUAAAUACAUAGGUGUCAAAAAAAAAAUACAAGAACUAAAUGACACCUCAUGGAAUAUUGUAGCAAGGAGCUUCUGUAGUUUCUUGAGAACAAAAUCUAUGGAUCAUCCAUGUCCUUACAUGUACACUUGUGAGCCACACACUUCGCCUUUAAGGGAUAUGCACACAUAUAUGGUGGACAAUCGGAAUUCAUUUUACAUUUAAUAUUUACUGUGAUGAAAUAAAAAAAAAAUUAAAGAAUCAAAUAUAUAUGAAAUCAAGAAGGAAAUUAUAAAAGGAUGAUAAAAAAACAUCUUACCGGUAUUCCCUGUAACAAGGAA
rnacentral:lncRNA from 1 species